UCAGACACAGUGUAGCGGUAAUAUCGCCUCUUGUUAUAGGUCCGAGAAUCGAUCCAUCGGAGGCAGCCCCGGGUUCGAACCCCGGUGUCUGAG